rnacentral:misc_RNA from 1 species
GAUGAAGAACGUAGCGAAAUGCGAUACUUGGUGUGAAUUGCAGAAUCCCGUGAACCAUCGAGUCUUUGAACGCAAGUUGCGCCCGAAGCCAUUAGGCCGAGGGCACGCCUGCCUGGGCGUCACACGUCGUUGCCCCCCCAUCUACUCCUUCGGGAUUGCGGGGGGCGGAUGAUGGCCUCCCGUGCGCCUCGUCGCGCGGUUGGCCUAAAUGCCAAGUCCUCGGCGACGCACGCCACGACAAUCGGUGGUUGCGAAACCUCGGUUGCCUGUCGUGUGCGGUCGUCGCGCAUCGAGGGCUCGAAAAAAUUGCCGGGCUUCGGCUCGACUUUCAACGCGACCCCAGGUCAGGCGGGGUUACCCGCUGAAUUUAAGCAUAUCAAUAAGGGAGGA